UAGCGGGCGGGCUACCUUACACAUGCAAGUCGAACGGCAGCACGGGAGCAAUCCUGGUGGCGAGCGGCGAACGGGUGAGUAAUACAUCGGAACGUGCCCAGUUGUGGGGGAUAGCCCGGCGAAAGCCGGAUUAAUACCGCAUACGACCUACGGGUGAAAGCGGGGGAUCGCAAGACCUCGCGCAAUUGGAGCGGCCGAUGGCAGAUUAGCUUGUUGGUGGGGUAAAAGCCCACCAAGGCGACGAUCUGUAGCUGGUCUGAGAGGACGACCAGCCACACUGGGACUGAGACACGGCCCAGACUCCUACGGGAGGCAGCAGUGGGGAAUAUUGGACAAUGGGGGCAACCCUGAUCCAGCCAUGCCGCGUGAGUGAUGAAGGCCUUCGGGUUGUAAAGCUCUUUUGGCGGGGACGAUGAUGACGGUACCCGCAGAAUAUGCCCCGGCUAACUUCGUGCCAGCAGCCGCGGUAAGACGAAGGGGGCUAGCGUUGUUCGGAAUUACUGGGCGUAAAGCGAGUGUAGGUGGUUGUCGUAGUCAGGCGUGAAAGCCCCAGGCUUAACCUGGGAACUGCGUCCGAUACUGGGAGGCUUGGAUUCGGGAGAGGGAUGUGGAAUUCGAGGUGUAGCGGUGAAAUGCGUAGAUAUCUGGAGGAACAUCAGUGGGGAAAGCGACUUCCUGGACC
rnacentral:rRNA from 1 species